rnacentral:rRNA from 1 species
GAUGAACGCUGGCGGCGUGCCUAAUACAUGCAAGUAGAACGCUGAAGCUUGGUGCUUGCACCGAGCGGAUGAGUUGCGAACGGGUGAGUAACGCGUAGGUAACCUGCCUCUUAGCGGGGGAUAACUAUUGGAAACGAUAGCUAAUACCGCAUAAAAGUCGAUAUCGCAUGAUAUUGAUUUGAAAGGUGCAAAUGCAUCACUAAGAGAUGGACCUGCGUUGUAUUAGCUAGUUGGUGAGGUAACGGCUCACCAAGGCGACGAUACAUAGCCGACCUGAGAGGGUGAUCGGCCACACUGGGACUGAGACACGGCCCAGACUCCUACGGGAGGCAGCAGUAGGGAAUCUUCGGCAAUGGGGGCAACCCUGACCGAGCAACGCCGCGUGAGUGAAGAAGGUUUUCGGAUCGUAAAGCUCUGCUGUAAGAGAAGAACGAGUGUGAGAGUGGAAAGUUCACACUGUGACGGUAACUUACCAGAAAGGGACGGCUAACUACGUGCCAGCCGCCGCGGUAA